UUUUUUUUUCAAUUCGUGAGUUCCGAAGUCCGAGUUGCGGCAAAAUUUGAUUACUAUCUCCAUGGAUAUUCUUUUUUUUUUAAAAUCCAAUCUCUCAAACUAAUAUGCCGAAUAGUGAGGACGCGAUUUGUAUAACCGUUCCUUGUUAACCCCUUAAUAAUCACUUUUGAACUUCAUCUUCAUUCUGUUCAUAUCAACCGCCGCCGUAUCAUCCCUCGCGAAUUAGCCGCUGCUGAACCGAGAUCGUUAUACCGUCGCACUCCGUCGUCCGUCUAGCUCCAUCGCCGCGCUCCUCCGUUGUGAUCGUCACCGCAUCGUUCAGGCUGCAUCCAUUGUUGUUGCUUAACUCGUUUCGCGUGAUCAUCCGAAACUCUAGUCGUCGGUGUCCGGUUAGCUCCGUUUGGUAUUUAAGGUUCGCGUGCUCGUUAGAGACGAUUUGAUUUUUUUGCUUUGCUUGGCCUAGUUAAGGUAAUCGGGGGAAACAGGGAUGAGUGAGAGUAAUAUGAAGUUUCAAGUUUUAAAGUUUUUCGUUUUCUAUCAAUUUCAGUAUUGAAUAAUAUAAGACUUAGGUUUUCUGAUGGUUUUGAGACUUUUUGUUUCUUGGAUUCUUGUUUUUAUUUGAAACUGUUUGGAUUUUGA